UGUAGUGAGGGGCCAGUGGGGUGGGUUGGACGUAGGGUGCGGGGGUUGUCCGUAAUCAUUGGGCGUGAAGGUCGUGUCGGCGGUGUGUCGGGUCUGCUGUGAAAAUCCGGGGCUCAACCCCGGACUUGCAGUGGGUACGGGCAGACUAGAGUAUGGUAGGGGAGACUGGAAUUCCUGGUGUAGCGGUGAAAUGCGCAGAUAUCAGGAGGAACACCGAUGGCGAAGGCAGGUCUCUGGGCCACUACUGACGCUGAGAAGCGAAAGCAUGGGGAGCGAACAGGAUUAGAUACCCGGGUAGUC
rnacentral:rRNA from 1 species